CCUUCUACCACAUCAUGCUGCAGAAAACACAGCAGAUGGGAAGAGACGAGAGAGACGUAUUUUAAAGAAUUGGCUCGUGGGAUUGUGGGGCCUGGAAAUCUGAAAUCUGCAGAGAAAGCCAGCAGGCUGGAAAUUCAGGAAGUGGCGAGGAAAGAAGAAUGAAGACAAAGAAUAUGGAGUUUCCAUUGAUUUAGCCAAGUCCAUAACAGAAGAAAAGUGCCUUCCUUCGGAACUUCCAAUACAAUGUGUGAGAAUGGACCUGUUACAACUUGUAUUACUCGCAGGGUUCCCCCACUACCAAGAAUAGGGGUGGCCUUAGAAGGCACUCUGAAGCAAGAAUCAGCAAGUGACUGAAUCUAUGAGACUCGUAUUGAUCAGCCUCAAAAGAAAUGAGUCCUACCUUCUCGGUCUCUUAAGAAAUUCAUUCUCUUGAAAAGCAAUUCAAAAAGAGCUUUCCCUAAUACACAUUAGAUAAACAAUGAGAUAUCCUCCUAGCUUUCUCUUGGGAAACUUUCACUUUAUAUCUUUUCAAUUUAUUCUCAUCUUUUUUUUUGUUCCUUCCUUCCCUACUUUUAGGCUUUGUCGUUCAAAAGCUAGCUCGUAGAAUUUUUUUAAAUCUUUGUAUUCAUAUAUCCCUAACUAGAGCAUGAUCUUUUUCUGGCUGGUGGAUCCUCCCCAGAAUGUUUGCAUGUAUUAGGGCUCCAGUGAAUAGGUGUUGGUCAUGAGGAAGGAUGACCAGCUAAGGGAGCUAAUGGCUUAGACAGACACUGUAGAAUUGCAAGGAAUAGAGAUGUGCUCAAGAUACCUUGGUUGGCGAGGUUUAUUGUUGCAGAAACACACUGGGUGGUAGCCAGUCAACCAAGACGGCGGCCAUCAAUUCCUUACCUUUCUUUGUGUACAUGCUGCACCCCAUGACCAAAGGUAGGGCCUUUUUUCUCCUCCCUUGUAUUUCGACUGGCCUCAUACCUUGCUUUCAACAGUGAAAUGUAACAGUGGUGAAGUUGGACUUGUUCCAAGCCUAGACUUUAAGCCUUCUGUUUCCUACUUCUUAGAAGCCAGUCACCAUGCAAGAAGCCUGCCUACCCAGUAACCAGCUGUGAGAAGUCCAAGCUGGCUACACAAAGGGGGGGACACUGAGGUGCCAGACAGGUGGGUAAGGCCUGCCUGAACCUUCCAGCUCUGCCCAACACUCAGCUGAAUGCAGUGAAUCAGCCAGCCCAGCUGAGAACACAGUGAGCAGAGGUUCUGAUCCUGCCUGGAUUCCAGACCCACAGAAUCCAGAGAAAUCAUGUGACUUUAAGCCACUAACUUUUGCAAUAGAU
ensembl:lncRNA LINC00460 long intergenic non-protein coding RNA 460